AUACAAAAAUUAAAAAACACAUGACACAUCUUUUCUUUAGGUAAGUCGUUUACAAACUUUGGCGAGGAGUAACACGUUCUUUUUAUUUGUUU
rnacentral:antisense_RNA from 1 species